UUCUAUUGUGAAUGGCACCACCCUUAACCGAUAAUUUCGUGCAAUUCUACAUAUUGUCAUAUGGCUUAGGCCCAUGACCUAGGUGAGAUAGAUUUUUUUUAAAUCACACGUCAGGUGUAGUCACGAUUCUUUUAAAAUUGAAUACACACUCAAAACCCAAAGAUUUGGUUUGAUGUUACCUUGAGAUUAUUUCAGCAUGGGCUUUAUAGUAUGUUAACUGGGGGACAUUGAAUUAGAUUGUUCUUUCAUUAGAACAUGCUAAUAUUAAUGAUACUGUAGCCAUAUGAUGGAUUUCAGUCUCUCCUUGUCUACAAGAAACCAACAUAUUACUAAUUUGGCUGAACUAUCCCUCUAAAAUGUGACCCAAUUCAGGAAACUAGGCAUAUGUCGCAAGUCACGACUUCACAGGAUAGCCUUUUGGACAUAAAAAACAUAUUUUUAUCAAAAUGCGUUUUUUAGCAGAAAUGCCUUCUCGAACAUGUGAAUUUUCAUGUGCCUUAAUAUCAAAUUUGUAUAUAAUCUGUAAAUACAAAUAAAAUGGCUAAAUUGCGAGCCAAGUUGGUUUAGCCACAAUGAAAGCAGGAACCUUCCAGUUAGCCAUGAUUGGAUGAGAUAAUGAGUGGGCUGGACAUGCCGAGAGAGGAGUUUGGAUUGGUCUGCGGUGUUGCACUUGUGUCUCUCGAAAGAGACUGUAUAACAUUAGCCAUGGAGAACUGCAAAUGUGUUACUACUGCUCUCAAUAACAUUUCUGCCCUGAGUCUAUCAGGCGCUAUCAACAAAGGUCAGUGGGGAAAAGUUGUGAUGGACUACUUUCUGGAGGACGAUCGUGCCAUGCUAACUCUAUCUGACUCUGAAAAUGAAUCAGACGAUGAGGAAAUCCCUGAUUUAGGUAAAAACGUUACAUGUCUUACCAAGAGUCCAAGUUAAAGCAUGCUGUAAACUAGCUAACGUUAGCGGAGGUUAGAUGGCUGGCUUGCUAACGUUACUCUAUGGAUUGGGAUUUUUGUUCAUUUUUUUAGCUAGCUAAUAUUACAUGUCUAAACAAAAGACUCCAAGGUAAAGCUUGCUGGUUACAUCUGAAGCACGAGGACUUGACUUGCUGCGAGUGGUGAACUUCAUCAACAACUAUGCAGAGGGUAAUGCAAUAGUAUUACCAGGAUGCCACCCAGGACACAAACACUUUGGUGGAAAGCUGCUGCCAUCCCAUGUGACAAAAGCAGUGGUGUGGCGUCUCUACAAGGAAUCGUUGACAACACUUGAGGUAUGUGUAGUCGGGCUGUCUUCCUUCAGGAAUCUGUGGAGAAAAUUGCUGCCCCACAUCUCAAGCACUAAGCCGAGGGCCGACCUGUGCUGGCAGUGCCAGAGGAACAACGAUCAGAUCUGCCAAUCUGCCAGAAGCUGUUAAGUCAGCCAAGCUGAAGAAGCAAGCGAGAGCAGCAUCUCCUGCUUGUUCAGAGUGAGCGGUCUGUCUACCAGAAGGUGGUUGCUGACUGCAAGACCAGCUGUCAAGACCUGCAUUUGUCUCUGUGGGCCCCUACUGAACCAGGAAGCAAAGACAUCAGGAUGCAUUGCAUCUUUAAUUCUGCUCAACAAGUGCACUAUCCUUCUGACCCUAUGCAACCAGGUCCAAUCUACUUUUUAGCUCUUCGCAAGUGUGGCUUGUUUGGUGUAUGCUGUGAAGGAAUACCACAAGUCAACUACUUGAUUGAUGAAUGCAUGUCAUCCAGCAAAGGCAGCAGUACAGUCAUCAACUACAUGCACCAUUGUUUCACCAACUACAGAGUUGAGGAAACAUGUGUGGACCUGAAUUGUGAUAACUGCAGUGGCCAAAACAAGAACAAGUUUGUGCUCUGGUAUUGUGCCUGGUGGACCAUGCACUAACUCUACCACAGUCUGGACCUUCACUUGCUGAUCACAGGCCACACCAAGUUUGCCCCCGACUGUUGCUUCGACCUCAUCAAGCAGCGCUUCAGAAAGACCAGAGUGAACACUGUCUGAGAUUGCUGUCCUUCACAACACCAGCACUGUGACGGGUCAACAUCCCACAGUUGGACUGGAGGAUGGUACGGUGCUGGUGGAAAGCUAUGGCUGGCAACAACACCUGACUUCGUACGACUCCAUAUUUCAGGCCACUGCCACAGAUCAAGCAGUACCAGCUCUUCAGCUUCAAUGCUCUGGAGUCUGGUGUUGUCGCCAAGGAGCAUUCCAACAGAUGGGACCAGGUUUCCAACGCUGACAUUCUUCCUCGCAUAGAUGGUCUGCCUGUACAAGCACCACCUGGACUGGAUACAGCUAGACAAACUUAUCUUUUUGAGAAGAUCAGGGAGUUUUGCGAUGAAGAGGCUAUGGACAUCACAUGCCCUGCACCAAAGUCAAGGGCAGGACAGAAACGGGCUCUCUGAAUAUAGAUUCCUUUGUUGAUGCGUGGUUUAAUGGACCAGUCAUCGGCACUACCUCUAUUCAAAUGACUCUCAACACACGCCGUCCAUUGCUGCUACAAUUUUUUUUAUCCUGCUGCUAACUCUCGUCUAUCAUUGAUAUUGUUCUUGUACAUACUGUAUAAUUGAUGUAUAUUGACAAUAUUAUCUAUUUCUGAUAUUGCAAGUAACCAUUUGGCUGUACCGUGUACACCUUCUGUAGAGACCAGUCACUUAGCAAGACUUAGCAAAAUAUUGAUAUGUGUUGUCGUAACAUGAUUUGACAUACCACAAAAAUAUGUGACCGUAUCACGUGUCCACCACAUAUGGCGCAUGAAUCUGUUUAUGUACUGUACAUGUGUACCUCACGCAGGUUUCAACUCAGGUUGCAUGGCCUUAACUUAUGUGAUAUGUGUAACAGUAUAUAAAGUAUGCUAAUGUACUGGUGUGAAGGCAUUUGGGCAGUGGUGUAAAAAUACUUCAAAGUACUACUUAAGUAGUAUCUGUACAUUACCAUUUAUAUUUGGCAAAUUUACUUCACUACAUUCGUAAAGAAAAUAAUGUGGUUUUUACUCCAUACGUUUUCCUUGACACCCAAAAUGAAGGAAAGGAAGGAAAAUAAAAUUGUCCAAUUCAUACACUUAUCAAGAGAAUAUCCCUACUGCAUCUGAUCUGGCAGACUCACUAAAUACAAAUGCUUAGUUUGUAAAUUGUUGGAGUGUGCCCCUGGCUAUCCGUCAAUAUAAAAAUACAAUUGCGCCGUCUGGUUUUAUGAGGCAUUUAAAGUUAUUUAUACUUUUACUCAAGUAUGAAAAUGUAGUACUUUUUCCACCACUAGAUGUGGCUGGGGGUUAUAGCAUUUAUUUCACAUGACACAUCAAUUUAGACAAGUGUGUCUGGGAAUGUAUCAUCUAAUAUUUAGAACAUUUUUAUCUGGACACUGUUUACAUGGAAUUGUUCCCCAUUGUAGCCUACUACCACUUUUAGUCUUAAUCUUUACUCCACACUGUUUAGCACAUGACCUCACAUGUGAAUCCUUAAAGAGAUGGGUGGGGCUGGUUUAAGAGGGUGUGAACAAUGCUGAAUGGGUGUAGAUAAAGUAGAGCUCUCCAGUAUGUAACAACUUUCAAAGGCCCUUUUCUCAAAAGUGAGUUUAUCAACUUUCCCAUUGCUCCUAAAAAUGCAGUGUAUGAUAUACCAUUUUGUAGCUCUGCGUCUCUGCUUUUAUCCAAUGUAAAAUAUUUAAAAAACUACUUCAAAAUUUGCGAC